rnacentral:rRNA from 1 species
UACGUAGGGUGCGAGCGUUGUCCGGAAUUAUUGGGCGUAAAGAGCUCGUAGGCGGUUUGUCGCGUCUAUCGUGAAAACUGGAGGCUUAACUUUCAGCGUGCGGUGGAUACGGGCAGACUUGAGUUCGGUAGGGGAGACUGGAAUUCCUGGUGUAGCGGUGAAAUGCGCAGAUAUCAGGAGGAACACCGGUGGCGAAGGCGGGUCUCUAGUACGGUACUGACGCUGAGACGCGAAGGCGUGGGGAGCGAACAGG